CCAGACAAAGCCGAAAUAACACAUUCACGGUAUCGCAGAGUUUGAAGAUGGAAUGCACACCAGGAAAGGAUGACAGCGAGUAGAUUGAAAACUUGGAGAAGAAGCAGUUGAAUGUGAAAGAGUUUUGAGACGGAGCCUCAUCAUGCAAUCCCGGUUGAUCCUGAACUAGACAAGAGGAUGGUGAGUUCAGGAUGUUUUCCCCGAGUGCUGGCAUCGUGGCUAUGCACUAGCUUAACAUUCUUCUGAGACCCUGAGUUGAUUCUCUAGAAAGCAAGUUAUCAUAAAUGAGCAAGCCUGUGCCUCCCCAGCCUCUGGCUUUCUGAUGUCCUCCUCAUAUACACUUCCCCCAUGAUGUUGUCUGCCCUGAUGUGAUGUAGCCAAAAGGACCCAUACAACAGCUGCCAUCAAUGCCUUUGAAUUUUCAGCCUCCAAAAAGGUGAGAUAAAUAGCUCUCUCCC